rnacentral:rRNA from 1 species
UACGGGGGGGGGCAAGCGUUGUUCGGAAUUACUGGGCGUAAAGGGCUCGUAGGCGGCCAACUAAGUCAGACGUGAAAUCCCUCGGCUUAACCGGGGGAACUGCAUCUGAUACUGGAUGGCUUGAGUUCGGGAGAGGGAUGCGGAAUUCCAGGUGUAGCGGUGAAAUGCGUAGAUAUCUGGAGGAACACCGGUGGCGAAGGCGGCAUCCUG